rnacentral:rRNA from 1 species
UUCUGGUUGAUCCUGCCGGAGGCUACCGCUAUUGGAGUUCGAUUAAGCCAUGCGAGUAGAAAGAAAUCAGAUUCUUUGCGUACCGCUCAGUAACACGUGGGUAACCUGCCCUAUGCUUGGGAAUAACCUCGGGAAACUGAGAAUAAUGCCCAAUAGUCCACUACGCCUGGAACGGUGAGUGGAUCAAAGCUUCGGCGGCAUAGGAUGGGCCUGCGCCGUAUCAGGUUGUAGGGGGUGUAAAGUACCCUCUAGCCAUCAACGCGUACGGGUGUUGGGAGACAUUGCCCGGAGAUGGAUUCUGAGACACGAAUCCAGACCCUACGGGGUGCAGCAGGCGCGAAAACUUGGCAAUGCGAGCAAUCGUGACCAGGGAACUCCAAGUGCGUAGGGUAAGACCUACGCUUUUCUUGACUCUUCAAAGGUCUUGGAAUAAGGGGUGGGUAAGGACGGUGCCAGCCGCCGCGGUAAUACCGGCGCCUCAAGUGGUAGUCGCUUUUAUUGGGCCUAAAACGUCCGUAGCCGGUCUGGUGCAUUCGUGGGUAAAUCAACCCGCUCAACGGGUUGAAUUCUGCGAGCACGGCCAGACUUGGGACCGGGAGAGGUGUGGGGUACUCUCAGGGUAGGGGUAAAAUCCUGUCAUCCUGAGAGGACCACCUGUUGCGAAGGCGCCACACUAGAACGGAUCCGACGGUCAGGGACGAAACCUAGGGGCACGAACCGGAUUAGAUACCCGGGUAGUCCUAGGUGUAAACGCUGUGGACUUGAUGUUGGGGGUGCUCCGAGCUCCCUCAGUGUCGAAGCGAAGGUGAUAAGUCCACUGCCUGGGGAGUACGGUCGCAAGGCUGAAACUUAAAGGAAUUGGCGGGGGAGCACUGCAACCUGAGGAUUGUGCGGUUUAAUUGGAUUCAACGCCGGAA